AUACAGGGUUUACUUCAAUUUUAUCUUAAACAACAAAACAAAUUCAUCUAAAUAAAGUUUGUAUGUUUUUAUUUAUUUUUUAUAAAAAGAUAUUUUUUACUCAUAAAAAUCAAUGUUAAAAAAAACAGCGAAUUCAAAAAAACAACAUAACUAGUCCAUAGAAACCACCACCAUACACACCUUAAAUGCUAAUUUUAUCAUAUUCCAACUUCAAUACCUAAAACCAUACAAA
rnacentral:lncRNA from 1 species